rnacentral:rRNA from 1 species
GACGAACGCUGGCGGCGUGCUUAACACAUGCAAGUCGAACGGAAAGGCCCUGCUUUUGUGGGGUGCUCGAGUGGCGAACGCGUGAGUAACACGUGAGUAACCUGCCCUUGACUUUGGGAUAACUUCAGGAAACUGGGGCUACUACCGGAUAGGAGCUCCUGCUGCAUGGUGGGGGUUGGAAAGUUUCGGCGGUUGGGGAUGGACUCGCGGCUUAUCAGCUUGUUGGUGGGGUAGUGGCUUACCAAGGCUUUGACGGGUAGCCGGCCUGAGAGGGUGACCGGCCACAUUGGGACUGAGAGACGGCGCAGACUCCUACGGGAGGCAGCAGUGGGGAAUAUUGCACAAUGGGCGGAAGCCUGAUGCAGCAACGCCGCGUGCGGGAUGACGGCCUUCGGGUUGUAAACCGCUUUCGCCUGUGACGAAGCGUGAGUGACGGUAAUGGGUAAAGAAGCACCGGCUAACUACGUG